GCGGGAGAGGGAAAGAGGGAGGCGGGCGGGUGGGUGUGUCCCGGCCCGGGAGCUGCCGGUGCGGCCCGCUCGCUCGGGGAGAGGGGUGCGGGGUGAGCGGAGGCGGAGACAUGAAGGAGGUGCGAGUCACUCAUCUUGCUUGCUUGCUGUACACCCAGCUCUGCCUGGGGGCCACGUGUCCCCAAGGAUGAGAAGCUCCCUUGGCUGCAAGGAAUGGAGACUCUCCUGGGGAAGAAAUAUUUUCUUCAAUAGUGGGGCUCUGAAAGAUUAUUAAAUACCCCUCAAGUGAUGUGUGUGGCUGAGACCAGAAACCAGGAAGCAAGAUUGCUUGCACCUCUCCAAAGGCAGGUCACAUAAUGCAGCGCUUCCGCGACAGAGGGUCAGACCACAGCUGCGUUUUUCAUCUGUGAGGACUGUGGCCGUGCUCAGGUUUAAACUGCUUUACUGCUGAAUUGAUUAUUUAUUUGAACAGUGUCUCUGCACCUUCCUUGUUGGUAAGCUGGUUUAAGAGUUCCAGGUGCGACAAAGUACUCAUUAGUGCUGGUGUGGUUGUUACCGGCAAGACCUCACAAAACAUCAGCUUGAGAAAAUAGCUCAAGCCAGAUACUGCAGGCUGGCACCCGGGGUGAGCGCUGGCUCACAGGCCCAUGCUGGCCACAGACCUGGCUCUCUGUUGUUCUUAUGUUGUUCUCUGCUUCUGCUUGUACAGUGUGGCUUGCACAAUGGAUUUAAAAAACAAUCAUAGAUUUCAGAAACAUUGCAGGGAUAAAGAAUGCCCAUGCCCUUCCAUAAAAUUCCCUAAAUGUCCACUUUUUAUCUCCCUAUAUUAUUAUCAUUGGAACCAGUUGAGAAUUGCAGACUCACUCCUAAAUGCUUCAGUGAAGACUUCCUACCAAACAAGAAUCCUCUCAUGCAUAACCACAUACGACAAUCAGAUCAGGAAGUUCACACUGAUACGGUAUUAUCUGAUCUAUGGACCUUAGUCACAUUUCACCAGCUGACCCAUUUUGCCCUUUUGCCUUUAUUUUUUCUGGUCCAGGAUCCAGUCUAGGAUCAUGAUGUCAUGCCACUUUUGUUUCCCUUAGUCUGCGUCAGUUCCUUGAUCUUUCAUUGUCUUUUGCGAUCUUGCCAGUUUUGAAGAGUGUAGGGCAGUUAUUUUGUAGAAUGCCCCUCAACAGAGGUUGGUCCGUCGUAUCCUCAUGAUUAGAUCCACGCAUGCCUUCUUGGCAGAAAUGCUCCAGAAGUGCUGUUGUACCCUUACCAGUGCAUCAUGCAAAGAGGCAUGCAUGUUGCUUUGUGAUAUGAUUGGUCACAUUAACUUUGCUCCCUUGGUUAAGAUAGUAUCUCUAAGGUUUGUCCACUGUCAGUUUUUUCCCUUUGUAUUUUCCCCUAGUUAAAAAGCAUUUUGUAGGGCAGCACUUUCAGGCAGUGUAAAUAGCCUUAUUCUCAUCAAACGUUUAUCCUCUAGUUUUAGCAUGUGUUGAUGGUACUUGCCUGAAUUGGUUACUGCUGUCCAAUUUUCUCGGUUGGGUUGGUGGGAGCCUGCUCAAGUUCGUUUCUGUGUGUGUCUGGCAUCUCCCCAGUAUUUUUUUAGUUCUUCCUUGCUUCAUGGCACCACAAGAUGUUCCAGGCUCACUUUACCCUUUCACUGGACUCAUCCCAGAGUCAGUCAUUUGUCUAAGGAGCCUUGAUUCUUUUUAGUGGAGAAUCAUAUUUACACACCAAGAUCUGGGUGCUAGAAGUGCUCACUGCUAUGGGGUGAUUCUGAGUUUCCUCAGUCGACACAGUUGUAUAAAUUUAUCCAUCCAUCUGUCCACAUCCAUAUCCAUUUCUCUCUAUGAUUUCUGUCUAUAUUAAUCAAUCUCAUCUCUUUAGAGUCAUCUAUCUAUAUUGAAUCUAUCAGUGCCAGGAGUUCAUAGAGAUACAUCCAAUGCCUAUCUAACACCCCACAAUUUAUUAUAGCCUCCCUCUUCCCAUAUUUGUAACUCCUUUCUCUGAAGUCAGAAAUUUGACUCCCGUUAUCCAUAAUAUAUGUGUAUACUCAGAAAGUACCUUCAGAAUUGCUAGCCCAUUCCACUGCAAAAAGCCAACCCAUUCAGUGGGGUUCAAUAUUUGUUUACAGGUCUCCUUGUCUUUUUAAAAAUUAAAGUAUAGUUGAUACACAAUCUUGUCUUGAUUUCAAGUAUAUAACAGUGAUUUGACAGCUACCCAUAUUAUUAAAUCGUCACCCACACUAGUGCAGUUACUAUCUGUCAACAUACAAAGAUGUUACAGAAGCAUUGGUUAUAUUCUCCAUGCUGUGCUCCUAUCUCCAUGCAGGUCUCCUUAUUUUUUGUCAAAAUACUCUAUUCAAAUGUUACUUGGGUUAGUUCCUCCACCCCCAAGAUAGGGUCAUUUUUUCUGUCUGUGUUCUAUUCUACAUUGUUUCCCUCCAUUCUUGAAUUUUUUUAGGCAAAUGAAACAUAAAUAUGGUCCCCAAAGUCAGAGUUAUGCAGAAGGGUAUAUAUACCCAGAGAAGUGUCACUGCCCCACCCUUUGCAUCUCACCCGUAACCCUGCAUCCUCUCUAUCCACCUUCUACCCUAGCACUGACUUUAGCAAGCACUCUCCUUAGUUUUUGGUUUAUCCUUUCUGUGUGCUGUUUUCUUGUUCUGUACAAAUAGCAGACACAUGUGCAUAUUACUAUUUCUCAUUUCCUCCAUAAAAGGUAUCAAACACUAGGUACUCAUUUUUAUUUCUUUUUCACUUAGUAAUAUAGCCGGAAAAUCCCUCCAUUUCAGUUCAGAGAGAUUUUCCUCAUUUUUUUUUUUUUGACAUUGCAUAGGAGUAUCUUAAGGUAAACACGUUUAGUUUUGUUAGGAGUUGCUAGUCUCCUCCCAGAAAGGUUUUAUCAAUUUGUAUUUCCACCAGAAUGUAUGGGAGGGCUUCUCCGCACAGCCACCACAAUAGAAUGUGUUAUCAUAUUUAAAAUUUGUGCCAAUCUGCUAGGAGAGAAAUGACAUCUCAGUAUAAUUUAAAUGUACAUUUCUCUUAUGUGAAUUGAACAUAUUUUCAUAUGUCUGUGGCCCAUUUUAAUAUGUAUAUAUAUACAUAUGUAUAUAAUCAGUGAAUUGUCUAUUCAUGUCUUUUGCCCAUUUUCCUAUUUUUUAAAUCUCACUUCCCCCAUGUUUUAGAGUUCUUUCCAUAUGGAGGAUAUUGGCCCUUUAUCUGCAUAGAUUGCAAAUAUUUUCUCUCAUUUUGUCAUUUGACUUUGCUUAUUAUGGUGUUUUUUUUUUGCCAAGAGGAAAUGUUUUAUAUGGUCAAAUUUACCAAUCUGUUCUCUGUUGCCACUGGACUGUGAGUCACAGUUAAAACGUGUUUCCUCACACCCAGAGUAUGCAGGAACCAAUCCAUGUCUUCUUGUGUAGUUUCAUCUUUUACAGUUAGAUCUCUGAUCCACUUGGAGUGGAUUCUCUGGUAGAGUGUGAGAUGAGGAUCUAGCUUCUAGUCCUGUGGCUACCCUGUUGUCCCAGCACCACUAAAAAGUCAGUAUUUGCCCCAGUGACUCAAGGUGUCACCUUUAUUAUUUAUUAAUCUUCCACACAUACUUAGGUUGAUUUCUGAGCUUUUUAUUCUGUCCUGCUGGACUGUCUGUCUGUCCAUGAACCAACAGCACACUGUUUUCAUUACACAGGCUUCAGAGGAUGUUUUAAGGUUUAGGAGGACCAGCCCCUGACUCCUACUAUUGCUUUUUUUUACUUCAGUAUUUUCCUAGAUAUUUUUGCAUGUUUGUUUUUCCAUAUAAACUUUAGUAUCAACUUGUCUAGCCCCAUUACAAAAUAAUUUGUCUUCAAAAUGUUCCCAAUAUUUUGAAAUAGUUUAUAACAUUUAAAAUUGGGAGAUAUCACUUGAAAAUAUGAAUUCCUGGUUUCUCUUGAAAUUUGGAAAGGCUUGUCAAUGGGGGUCUUUUCUUUCCACGUGACCUAAUAGUGUAGAGCAGAUCGAUAGCUGCAGCCUUUACCCAGACCUCAUGGUGCCCACCAUGUCCUCCAGCCUCUCACCCCUGCCCUUCUUCACACAUUUAAGCUCCCUGCAUGUCCUCUGAGUUGGUGACUCAGGCUUGAGAUGGUCAGGAAAGUUAUAUUCCAUGUCCACCCUUAGUCAACCAUUUCUGUGGAUCACAGUAAAAUGUUUUGAAAGGUACUAGUGUCUGCUUUGUUCAUUGCUGUAUCUCCAGAGCCUAAUAAGAGGGCUCAGGGCCUAGUUGGCGCUUGGUAAAUAUGUGUUCAAUGAAUAAACAUUUGUAGGUAGGAAACAAGAAGUGAUCAAAACCUAUUCACUCUUCAGGAAACCAUUGAAAACAAAUCAAGUAGAACCAGUACAUUAGGGUGGGAGUAAGUUGGCACAACCAUUACAGAGGGCAGCUUGGCAACGUCCAUCAGAAGGCCACUCGGCAACAUCUGUCAGAAUUACAAAGGUGUACAUCAGUUGUCUUCACAG